AACGGUCUAUACCUGCGGUACCUGCGGAGGGAUCAUUACCGAGCUCCUGCCCCUUGGGUAGAUCUCCCACCCUGUGCCAUCUCUACGACCGUUGCUUUGGCGGGCCGCCCGCCCGCCAGAGGCCCCCCAGACUCUAGAUAUUGGCGUCGUCCGAGUCCUACACAAUCGUUAAAACUUUCAACAACGGAUCUCU
rnacentral:misc_RNA from 1 species